ACCCCGUCCUUAGGGGAGUAGCCGCCCUCCGCCGUCAUGGCAGAGAGGGGCGGGCGUCAACAAACUCGGGCCCCGGCCCGUGGCGUCCGUGCUCAGCGAAAGCUGAUUUGGCGAGACCUUUGGCUCAUGCGCGCCCCUCUGCCGGGCGGGCGCAAUGGGUCAUUGUCUCGUCCGGCGCGGAGU
rnacentral:sRNA from 2 species